UCGUCUUCCAACUUUAAAAUUCAGUACUAGAUAGAAGUGCCGUUCUCCUCAUCCAUUC
rnacentral:sRNA from 1 species